GAUGAACGCUGGCGGCGUGCCUAAUACAUGCAAGUCGAGCGAACGGACGAGAAGCUUGCUUCUCUGAUGUUAGCGGCGGACGGGUGAGUAACACGUGGAUAACCUACCUAUAAGACUGGGAUAACUUCGGGAAACCGGAGCUAAUACCGGAUAAUAUUUUGAACCGCAUGGUUCAAAAGUGAAAGACGGUCUUGCUGUCACUUAUAGAUGGAUCCGCGCUGCAUUAGCUAGUUGGUAAGGUAACGGCUUACCAAGGCAACGAUGCAUAGCCGACCUGAGAGGGUGAUCGGCCACACUGGAACUGAGACACGGUCCAGACUCCUACGGGAGGCAGCAGUAGGGAAUCUUCCGCAAUGGGCGAAAGCCUGACGGAGCAACGCCGGGUGAGUGAUGAGGGUCUUCGGAUCGUAAAACUCUGUUAUUAGGGAAGAACAUAUGUGUAAGUAACUGUGCACAUCUUGACGGUACCUAAUCAGAAAGCCACGGCUAACUACGUG
rnacentral:rRNA from 1 species